rnacentral:rRNA from 1 species
GACGAAGGAUGCAAGCGUUAUCCGGAUUCAUUGGGUUUAAAGGGAGCGUAGGCGGAUUUGUAAGUCAGUGGCGAAAUCUCUUCGCUUAACGAAGAAACUGCCAUUGAUACUGCAGAUCUUGAGUACAGUUGCCGUUGGCGGAAUAUGACAUGUAGUGGUGAAAUACUUAGAUAUGUCAUAGAACACCGAUUGCGAAGGCAGCUAACGAAGCUGUAACUGACGCUGAGGCUCGAAAGUGCGGGGAUCAAACAGG